rnacentral:rRNA from 1 species
UGCAUAUCAAUAAGCGGAGGAAAAGAAACCAACAGGGAUUGCCUCAGUAACGGCGAGUGAAGCGGCAACAGCUCAAAUUUGAAAGCUGGCCCCCCCGGGGGUCCGCGUUGUAAUUUGUAGAGGAUGAUUCGGCGAGGGCUCCCGCCUAAGUCCCCUGGAACGGGGCGUCAUAGAGGGUGAGAAUCCCGUAUGCGGUGGGCUGCCUUAGCCAUGUGAAUCUCCUUCGACGAGUCGAGUUGUUUGGGAAUGCAGCUCUAAAUGGGAGGUAAAUUUCUUCUAAAGCUAAAUACCGGCCAGAGACCGAUAGCGCACAAGUAGAGUGAUCGAAAGAUGAAAAGCACUUUGGAAAGAGAGUUAAAAAGUACGUGAAAUUGUUGAAAGGGAAGCGCUUGCAGCCAGACUUGUCCGCAGUUGCUCAGCCGGUCUCCUGACCGGCGCACUCUUCUGCGGCCAGGCCAGCAUCAGUUCGGGCGGUCGGAUAAAGGCCCCGGGAACGUAGCUCCUCUCGGGGAGUGUUAUAGCCCGGGGUGGAAUGCGGCCAGCCUGGACUGAGGAUCUCGCUUCGGCUAGGAUGCUGGCGUAAUGGCUGUAAGCGGCCCGUCUUGAAACACGGGAC